rnacentral:rRNA from 1 species
UCGGUCUACUACUCCACCCUUUGUUUACAUACCAUUGUUGCUUUGGCAGGCCCGUCGCAAGACAACCGGCUCCAGCUGGUCAGCGCCUGCCAGAGGAUCUAAAACUCAUGUUUAUAUUAUUGUCUGAGUACUAUAUAAUAGUUAAAACUUUCAACAACGGAUCUCUUGGUUCUGGCAUCGAUGAAGAACGCAGCGAAAUGCGAUAAGUAAUGUGAAUUGCAGAAUUCAGUGAAUCAUCGAAUCUUUGAACGCACAUUGCGCCCUCUGGUAUUCCGGGGGGCAUGCCUGUUCGAGCGUCAUUACAACCCUCAAGCUCUGCUUGGUAUUAGGCUUCACCCCCAAGGGCGGGCUUCAAAAUCAGUGGCGGUGCCAUUUGGCUUCAAGCGUAGUAAUUUUCUCGCUUUGGAGGACCGAGUGUGUGCCUGCCAGCAACCCCAAUAUUUUUUAAAGGUUGACCUCGGAUCAGGUAGGGAUACCCGCUGAACUUAAGCAUAUCAAUAAGCGGAGGAA